rnacentral:tRNA from 1 species
CAAGUGAAAAAUUUCUUUUACAAUGAAAUAUUUAACUAAAGUUUUUAGUCGUCUUGA